UGGUGGAGUGAUUUGUCUGGUUAAUUCCGUUAACGAACGAGACCUCGUCCUGCUAAAUAGUUCGGGUCAGUCUUCGGGCUGACUACGUGGCUUCUUAGAGGGACUAUCGGUGUGUAGCCGAUGGAAGUUCGAGGCAAUAACA
rnacentral:rRNA from 1 species